rnacentral:rRNA from 1 species
CCUACGGGAGGCAGCAGUGGGGAAUAUUGGACAAUGGGGGCAACCCUGAUCCAGCCAUGCCGCGUGUGUGAAGAAGGCCCUCGGGUUGUAAAGCACUUUCAGUGAGGAAGAACGCCUGGUGGUUAAUACCCAUCAGGAAAGACAUCACUCACAGAAGAAGCACCGGCUAACUCCGUGCCAGCAGCCGCGGUAAUACGGAGGGUGCGAGCGUUAAUCGGAAUUACUGGGCGUAAAGCGCGCGUAGGUGGCUUGAUAAGCCGGUUGUGAAAGCCCCGGGCUCAACCUGGGAACGGCAUCCGGAACUGUCCAGCUAGAGGGCAGGAGAGGAAGGUAGAAUUCCCGGUGUAGCGGUGAAAUGCGUAGAGCUCGGGAGGAAUACCAGUGGCGAAGGCGGCCUUCUGGACUGACACUGACACUGAGGUGCGAAAGCGUGGGUAGCAAACAGGAUUAGAUACCCCGGUAGUC